CAAGCAAUUGUGUGUGACCAGGGUAAGAGGGUUGGAAUGGGAAUAGAGAGUGGAUCUCCCCGGCACAGGACAUGACCCUCGAUGCAGCUGGGACAGUGGACGAGGCAGUUUUCCAAAGGAGGGAUCCCUUCCAUCAAGCGACCUUCCUCUGAAUACAGGUUCCUGCUAUUGAAUGUCAUAGACAGUGCUGCCCAGCACAAGAACGGUCAUGUGCAUGUGACUGUCUCCCUCUAAUGCUGGAGCCCACAUUAUCAUCUGCUGCUAUGAAUGCCCAAAGCAGGGAAUGUCAACCUCCACUAUGAAACAAUCCACAAAUUCAAACAGAAAACAAAAUAACUAAUGUCACUAUCCACAUGCGGAGGUCUCCAGUACCAAGGUAGUAUGAAGAAAGAAGAGCAGGAGCCCUGGGAUCAGGAGGCUAAGUUCUCUUGUCAACUUCACCUGGAGCAAAAUGUGGAGUUUAGAAAAGUCUCUCGCCUGUCUGGACCUGAGCACCUUCACCUGUGAAAUGAGAGCAGGAUUUGGUCACAUUUGUAGUCCUCCCCAGCUCUAGCAAGCUAUCAUUUUAACAUCAAUUCCUCAGGACUCAGUUGCUUAAGUGUAGACUAAGCCUCAUAUGGCUAUUGAAUGUAACAUGCCCUCUAAAAGAGACUAGGAAAUCCAAUUGUAGACACACACUCAAAAGAAGUUUCCGGUUGAAUGCUAACUCUAACUUCUAAGAAAGUAAUAAGGAUGAUGGUAACUGCUACUUGUUAUCAAUCAUGUACUUCUAGUACAUGAUUCAUCAUGUACUUCCAAGAAAGUAAUAAGGAUGAUGGUAACUGCUACUUGUUAUCAAUCAUAGUACUUCUAGAAGAAUAUCAACUAUUCUUCUAGAAGUACUAUCUCAUUUAACCUCCACAACGCCAUGAAGUAAGUCCCACUAUUAUUCCCAUUUUAUAGAUGAAGAAACUAAAUCACAGAAAGCUUAAGUAAUUGCCCAAGAUCAAAUGUAUUAUGUAUGGCAAGUCUACCAGCAAAUACAGCUGGUUAGGCUCCACAGUCUGGAGUGGCCUUCCUCCAGAAAAACUGCCUCCCUCCUCACCAGGCUGUUCUCAUUGAGAAAUCUGUACUUGAAAAGCUUCUUGGGAAAGAAAAUAAAAUCUCAUCACUAAUGCUGUGCCAUGGAUUAAACUUAAAAUGCAGAGUGUUUUACCAUGCCAGCAGAGGCAUACCAGAGUUACAACAGUGUCUGGUUUUCCAGUUGGCUUUGUUAACCUUGGAGUCUCUGUAGGUUUCAAUGGUCAUUGGGGAGAGAACGAUUGCCCCAGUAGGAAGGAGUCUGAUUGGAACCAGGAGGCAAAUACCUUAUACGGAAGGAUUCACUGCAUUACGACCAUUUAAAAGCUGAUGAUACAACAGAAUUACCAUUAUGACUUAUCCACACCAGUUAGACAUGCGUAAUCAUUAGUUCUCAAGCUGAAGUAGAACAUACUAAACUUACUUGACAUUCUUUCUCUAGCGCUUCCCAAACUCAUUUGAACACAUAAUCAUUUGUUUUCAUUGAGCCUCUUUUGAGACCAUUGUCCCAAUUGAGACAUUGGGACAGAACACAUUUGGAAAAUUCUGCUCAAUAGAAUACAGCAAAGACCACAAAAAAGAAACGAAUGCAAUAAAGAGUCCUCAACUUCUCAUACUAUCCAUCCAGAGGGCCCUGCAGCCCCAGACAGCUGGAGCACACGGGAGAAGGCAGUUCCUCACUCUUCAUUACUCCCACCAGGGGCAGAACAGAAAUGCCUCCAUCAAGAUAGAAAAGUACUUGCUGCUUUUAA